UACGAAGGGGGCUAGCGUUGUUCGGAAUUACUGGGCGUAAAGCGCGUGUAGGCGGACCGUUAAGUCGGGGGUGAAAGCCCGAGGCUCAACCUCGGAAUUGCCUUCGAUACUGGCGGUCUGGAGCAAUGUAGAGGCGAGUGGAAUACCGAGUGGAGAGGUGAAAUUCAUAGAUAUUCGGUGGAACACCAGUGGCGAAGGCGACUCGCUGGACAUUUGCUGACGCUGAGGCGCGAAAGCGUCGGGAGCAAACAGG
rnacentral:rRNA from 1 species